GACGGGGCCCGCACAAGCGGUGGAGUAUGUGGUUUAAUUCGAUACAACGCGAAGAACCUUACCUGGUCUUGACAUCCCGGAGACCCUUAGGAAACUAGGGGGUGCUUCCAUCUGGAAGAAUCUGGAGACAGGUGCUGCAUGGCUGUCGUCAGCUCGUGUCGUGAGAUGUUGGGUUAAGUCCCGCAACGAGCGCAACCCUUGCCUUUAGUUGCCAGCAGUUCGGCUGGGCACUCUAAAGGGACUGCCGGUGUUAAACCGGAGGAAGGUGGGGAUGACGUCAAGUCCUCAUGGCCUUUAUGACCAGGGCUACACACGUACUACAAUGGCCGAUACAAAGGGCAGCGACACUGCGAGGUGAAGCCAAUCCCGUAAAAUCGGUCUCAGUCCGGAUUGGAGUCUGCAACUCGACUCCAUGAGGUUGGAAUCGCUAGUAAUCGUGGAUCAGCAUGCCACGGUGAAUACGUUCCCGGGCCUU
rnacentral:rRNA from 1 species